rnacentral:rRNA from 1 species
UCCUCCUCGGAGGCAGCAGUGAGGAAUAUUGGUCAAUGGGCGGUAGCCUGAACCAGCCAAGUCGCGUGAAGGAUGAAGGUUCUAUGGAUUGUAAACUUCUUUUAUAAAGGAAUAAAGUGAGGCACGUGUGCCUUUUUGUAUGUACUUUAUGAAUAAGGAUCGGCUAACUCCGUGCCAGCAGCCGCGGUAAUACGGAGGAUCCGAGCGUUAUCCGGAUUUAUUGGGUUUAAAGGGAGCGUAGAUGGGUUGUUAAGUCAGUUGUGAAAGUUUGCGGCUCAACCGUAAAAUUGCAAUUGAUACUGGCA